GAUGAAGAACGCAGCGAAAUGCGAUAAGUAAUGUGAAUUGCAGAAUUCAGUGAAUCAUCGAAUCUUUGAACGCACCUUGCGCUCCUUGGUAUUCCAAAGAGCAUGCCUGUUUGAGUAUCAUUAAAUUAUCAACUGUACCAAUUUGGUUGCAGAUUGGAUGUGGGAGAUUUUGCAGGCUUUUGAUUUCUCUUUGAGAAAACGGUCAGCUCUCCUGAAAUAUAUUAGCAGUGCCUUUGUUGGUUCAUUAGGUGUGAUAAUUUAUCUACAUCUUCACAUGGUACCUUCAUUUGUGUAAAGGUCAUAUUGCUUCUAAUUGUUUUUGGACAUAAAAAAAAAAAACAUAUAAUUGUAUGGAAAACUUGAUCUCAAAUCAGGCAGGACUACCCGCUGAACUUAAGCAUAUCAAUAAGCGGAGGA
rnacentral:misc_RNA from 1 species